GAGGGUAUAGCUCAAGUGGUAGAGCACAUGCUUAGCAUGCAUGAGGUCCUGGGUUCAAUCCUCAGUACUCCCU
rnacentral:tRNA from 1 species